CACGUAGGGCGCAAGCGUUGUCCGGAAUUAUUGGGCGUAAAGAGCUCGUAGGCGGUCUGUUGCGUCUGCUGUGAAAACCUGCGGCUCAACCGUGUGGUCUGCAGUCGAUACGGGCAGGCUGGAGUUCGGUAGGGGAGACUGGAAUUCCUGGUGUAGCGGUGAAAUGCGCAGAUAUCAGGAGGAACACCGGUGGCGAAGGCGGGUCUCUGGGCCGAUACUGACGCUGAGGAGCGAAAGCGUGGGGAGCGAACAGG
rnacentral:rRNA from 1 species